rnacentral:lncRNA from 1 species
GGCCAAGUUGCUGAGCUGAUGUAGCUUAGGGUGUGUUUGGUUCAACGUAAAACUGCAGAAAAAAAAAUUUUGGUGAAAAAAAAAAUUUUGGUGGAAAAAUUUUUUACGUCGUUUAGUGUUUGGUUUGUAUGAAAAGAAAAAUAGUUUUUCAUGACUGUUGUUUGGUUGAAAAAAAAAAUAUUUAAUAUAUUUUUUUAUUUUAUAUAUUAUUAAUAUAUAAUUAUUCUAAUAUAUAUAUAUAUAUAAUUAUUAUAUAUUUUUUUCUCCUAUUAUAUAUACUAGUUAAGGGACCCGCGCGAUGCUGCGGGUAGUUAUUUUAAAAUUUAAUUUUAAAAAUUAGUUAUAAAAAUAAAUUUCAGAAUUUAAAUGGUGCAAUAAGUAUAUCAAAAAAUUUUAGUAGGCAUAGUAGUCGCCCAUUAGUUAGUGAAAUAAUUUUAGUAGAUAUCGUAAUCCCCCAGUAGUUAGUGAAUGAGAUAAAAAAUUAUUGUUUGUGAUUCUAGUAAUUAAUUUUCAUCAAAUAUAAAAUUAACUUAAACUGCAUCAAUUUUUUUUAUUUUUUAAUGUACAAUUUAUAUGUGAAUGCUUAAUAUUAUAAAAUUAAUAUU